UAAGAACCAAAUAAACCGAUUGC
rnacentral:siRNA from 1 species